UACGUAGGGUCCGAGCGUUGUCCGGAUUUAUUGGGCGUAAAGAGCUCGUAGGCGGCUCAGUAAGUCAGAUGUGAAAACUCAGGGCUCAACCCGGAGACGCCAUCUGAUACUGCUGUGGCUUGAGUCUGGUAGGGGAUCACGGAAUUCCUGGUGUAGCGGUGAAAUGCGCAGAUAUCAGGAGGAACACCGAUGGCGAAGGCAGUGAUCUGGGCCAGUACUGACGCUGAGGAGCGAAAGCGUGGGGAGCAAACAGG
rnacentral:rRNA from 1 species